GUUAUUAUAAGCAUAGAGGAUAGGUUGUAAUAUAAUUUCUUUUUUAAUUGUUAUAAAUUCGUAAUUCGUAGCUUUCUUUAGUUUUAAGUUAGUUUUCAUCUUAAGUUCGGAAAGAUUAUAAUAUUUCUUUAGUUUAAGUCCGUUUUUAAACUAUUUUUUUCAAUGCCCUAAGUGAGUAUACAUCUAUUAAAUUCAAACGCAGAGCUCAUUAUGUUGAUUUUUGAAGAGUUCCCUGGAAUAUCUUCUACAUCUCAUUUUUGAAGAGAUUCCGCGAGAUCGGGAACUAUGUGGUUAAAAGCAAAAAUUUGCCGGAAGUCACUAUUCCACGCGAACGAAGUCGCGGGCAAAAGCUAUAUGUUAAUAUGUGAUAAAAAGACAGUAAAUUAUUGUCUCACAGAUUGAUUCUGUGAUAGAAACCUAAAAAGACAGGUAUAAGUUCUAGCUACUAUUGUGAUUUUUUAUAUUAUUUAUGUAUGUGGUUUUAGGUAUAGCGUAUUGCAUAUUGCAUACUAAAUUAUUCAAAAUAAUUUAGUAUGCAAACAUGCACUUGUCUUAGAGAUUGAUUCUGUGAUAGAAACCUAAAAAGAUAGGAAUAAUAACAAUAUUAUAAACCUUAAGUUUAAAAAGUAAAUUAUUGUAAAUAUGUUGAUCUGUAAUAAAACAAAGAAAUGUAUAUUAUUGUAAAUAAGGCAUUGAUUAUUCUGUAAAAAAAAUCGUUAGGUACUAUCGUUAGGUACUAUUGUUAGGUAAUAUUGUGUUAAUCUAUGAUAUCUACCUAAGUUGUUAACAGUAAAUAAUCAGACGAUCUUUAAUAAUAUUAUUACUAGUAACUGUAACCUAAGUACCUUGUUUUGAUCUCAAUUACUUGACUCAGUGUGAUUUGUGAAAAUAUAUAUGUCUUUUAAGAUACUUGUAAAUGUUUUAUUUGUCUUAUUUUCGAUGUGAGUAAAAAACAUGAAAAUAUGUUUUCCCUUGAACGGAUACAACUUCGCUUUAUAUCUGAGCAAACUACGUCACUAGUGGGGACAAAUCAAUUUAUUUUUCCCGUCUGCCACCACUGGGGACAACUGGGAAUAAAAGUAAUAGUCAUUCCCAUUUGUCACCACUGGAGCGUCCCCACUGGGGACAAAUGGGAAUAUUUAAAAAAAAAAUUCCCAUUUGUCACCAGUGGUGACAUGGACGGUGGGGACAAAUGGGAAUGAUUCCAUGGAAUCAAGAGUGCGAACAAGUCCCAACAAUUGUCAACGCUGCUUAAGGAUAUGGCAAAUCAUGGUGACCCGGCGAGGCCUCUUGCUGCAUCACUAGGUUGGGUACGGUCAGACUGACUGUGGACUGAACUGACAAACAUAUUGAAUGCUGUUGGUGGUGGUGGCAGCAAGACUACAGACAAGUGAUAAAAAGCGUCGUCCGCGGUUGAGAUCGCCAGCGACACCGCAGUCUGCUGUUUCUCCCGACCGCCCUCGUUUGAGCGCCCGCCGCCGUUGAUGCACCGACCCCCUUCGAGACAGCGGCAAGCGAGUAGCUAAAAAGCUAAGAGCACACAGCACCUGAAAAUUAUAAUAAUACAGAUUUAGA